CUUCUUGCACAUCAUGAUGACACUCUUUUGCAUGUUUUAAGGCUGUUUUUUCUUAUCUUUUUUCUUGUCAUAUCAGUACCGAACUUCUUGCACAUUAUGAUGACACUCUUUUGCAUGUUUUAAGGCUGUUUUUUCUUAUCUUUUUUCUUGUCAUAUCAGUACCGAACUUCUUGCAAACCAUAGUGUUGUCAUUAGCUUCACCCCUACACUUUAAGGCAUUCAGUGAAUAUAGCAGCGUAUGUGUAGUUUGUUUCUGAACUUCGAAUUGGUGUGAGCCAAGUCCAUUCAAAGAUGCACAUAGCAGAUGAAGCAUAAUUUCAAACUAGAGCUGAGCACCGCCGGUUUCUUCCUUCUCUCUCCCGACUCCCCUCCCCCGCCUCAAACCAGCCGCCGCCUAUGCCAGCGACCUCGUCGCCGUGCGCCGUUCUCCGCCCUCCCCCCACCGCCGCCGCUCCCAGCCUCUCCCCCUCUCCUCCUCCCACCCAAUCUCCCUACCCGAGGCCCCAAAUCGAGCAGCAGGUCAGGCCGCGGCCAGAUCCACCACGGCCGCCGCGGUGCGUCCGGAUCCGCGCCGUCGUGACGCGGCGGAAGUGCUCGACGGCGGCCACGUCUCCCUCGUCACUCGCGCUCCAGGAGAGGAGGAGGCGAUGGCCACUGCUGCCGUUCUCGGGCGACCACGCGGCUCCUCUGCUCCGACCCUAUCAAGGCCUGGAGGAGGUGCAGGAGAUGCAAAUCUUCGGCCCCAACAAGCUCCUGGAGGACAGCAAGUUUCUUUCCUGGGUCCAACGCAGACGCAGGGGCAAUGAUGAUUGAUCCAGAUGAUGCAACGGUGUACUAAAAUGGAGCGUUUACUCGCUUCUCAUGGGCAAGGGAGGCAAGUAAGAUGUUCGUGAAGCUCCAUCUCGACUACAGGCCUGGAGGAGGUGUAGGAGAUGCAUAUCUUUGGCCACCCCAACAAGCUCCUGGACAAGGAGGGCAGCAAGUUCCUGGGGUCCAACGCAGGGGUGCUGAAUACGCAGCGAAGGAUCUUGAUCUGCUGGUUUAGAAUAAAACCAUAGACCAACUCGGAACGACAAGGAAAAUCACAAUCCAUCAGUCUACAACCCGCCUCAUAGCAGACGCUACUAGCAAAAACGGGAUCCAGGCGAGGGUUCCACAACGAAAGAAGCAACUCUCUUAAUUUGAUUCCGUAUAUGAUUCUGAGAAGUUGGCAGAGAGAAUUGCAAAGCUUUCUGGUGACGUGUCUGUCAUCAAGGUUGGAGCGACAACCGAGACAGAGCUUGAGGACUGGCAGCUGCGGAUCGAGGACGCGAAGAAUGCCACUUUUGCAGCCAUUGAGGAGGUCAUUGUUCCCGGUGGUGGCAUGAUGUAUGUACACCUGUCUACCUAUGUCCCUGGUGAUCCAAGAAACAAUCGAAGACUAUGAUGGGCGCCUCGGUGCCGGCAUCAUUCAGAAGGUACCAUGAUGAUUCCAUCGUUGAUGGUGGCCAUGUAGAUUGCCUGAUAAGGUUCUACCCAACUAGAUGACUAAUGUGGCGCCGAGAUAAAAUGGUGACUCUAAGGUGACUCUAGAAGUAAUGCGGAAGCAAUCCGAAAGUGCAACUUACAUAUGUGGAAAUGAAAUUGGAAAGACAUCGAGGGAAGUUGCAAAAGUAAUGAAGCGGCGUACUGUCAAGAGCACUCUCUGUAAUGAGAGAAGUUUGCGAAGUCAUUGCAUGUUCUGUAGAUAAUCUUGAAUGUGUCGUCGAUGGGAGGAAGGUUGAUGCUGGUGGAUAUGGCUGGCUCUGGGAACAAUGAAGCUGCAGGUCAAACUGGAUUCGACGCCAAGAUGCAGACCGGAGCAGAAGUGGAAGCGGAAGCGGAAGCUGAUUGCCGCCGAGUGCAGGUGGCUGACCUGGUGGUGCUCACCAACGCCUACAACUACUACUGGCUCCCAAGAGCGUAGCCACAUAUACGCUCCUACUGCCAACCCUACUGGUUGCCUCCUCUUCGGCCACUACUUCGACUUCCCCCGCAUCGUGAUGAUGGCUCCACGGCGGUGGUUGGCGCCUCUUCCUCGGUUCUGGUUAGUUCCUGGUCUCCGCCCUCUCUCCCUUGUGCCUUUAGAUUGUCUAGCCAUCGAGCUAUGGCUGAUUGUCUGGUGCUGACUAUCGAGCCAAUGACUGUGGGAUCAGUUAUGUGUUCAUGUUGUCUGUGGUGUCGGUCUUCCGGACAACACAAUCUUGUGAUUGUGAUGAUUUUGUUUAUGAAACUGCCCAUGUGCCGAUUAGGCCCUUGUGCUGUUGUAUGCUAUUUGUUGGGGUUUGAUUUUUAUUUAGGAUCUUGGUGUGUUACUGUCUAGGGUGUAGAACUUGAUAUUAAAGGAACAAGUCCGUUGCUGCACUUUUCUGCACUAGAUAGGAAUUGCGGCUUGCCGCACCCGGCAGCUAUGCUGCCGGGUAUAUUUAUGUUCAAUCUAUUUACACAACUGCCGAAGCACUUCAAGUAUAAAAAAUGGCAAACACAAUAAAGUAAAUAUAGUGGUACUCCUUCAGAGAAGAGUUCGAAAUAGAUAAUAUAACAUCAAAAAAAGUCACGGAACACAAUCGUUCAAACCCAGCAUCCAAUUCACUCAUUUCAAAGCUUAAAUAAAAGACCGGAUGGGAUAGUCCAUAGUUGUACAGAUCCAGCGUGAGUAAAUCCUCGUCAGAUCCAACAUUUGAUUGAUAAACAAAAUAAAGAGGGCCUAGUAGUGAUAGCACAGAGGCAGCAUAGAUAUUUGAGGCAUAAACAGAGGCAAAACUCCUUCAACACGGUAAUGUGUGCUCGCCUUUGAGCAACGUCAUCCCCGUCUAUGUAUCCUGAAUGUUGGGGAUGAUAAAGCAGUUACAUGUUGACAUUCAAAGGCAUAUACAUAGGUGAUAAAUAAGCUUUCUUGAGCACAAUAUUUAUAUGUAUCAAAUACUCUAUCCGUCCGGGAAAACUUGUCCUCAGCUUAGUUCAUUUAUAAUUUUGCAAAUAAACCCUUAUCCUUUUAAUUCUCUUGCUAAUCAACCCGUCUUCCACCCCCGUCGCCCGCGGGCACUGCGUGCCCCAGCCACCGUCUCCCCUGUCGCCGCGGGGCACCGCGCGCCCCAGCCGUCGUAGAGCUCAGCUUGCACCGCAGCUGCCAACUUGCACCCCUGCUUACCUGCGCACACGGAGGCGAGCUUCCCCCCGCCCACCUGCUCCUCUGCGGUGACACCUCGACGGACUGCAGCUGCACGGCUGACGGGCAGAACCUCCUUGUCGUCCUCCUCGAGUCACCAGCACCGCCGCCCACCUGCGCAGCUGCCACAGAGGUGACCACCACCGCUCGCAGGGCCUGCGCCGUCCGCUUCGGCCGUCGGCACGUUGUCUUUCGCCACUCCGGCCUCUUCUGUUGUUUCCGUCUUCCUCCGCCUCUGUUGCUUCUGCUAGUGGUGGUGCAGCUCCCGAUCUUCGUCCAGGUGGCCCCAAUCUUCUUAUUCGUCCAGGUGACCCCGGCUCUGCUGCUGUUGAAGCCUACAACAUCUGAACCGUACAGUGCCAGCUAGCUCAAACAAGAUGCAAAUCAACAUAUUGUGGACUAUAUUUCUACAGUUGUAUGGAACAAGGGAGCUGGGAUGAUUAUGCAUGUACUAAUUCAGUCACUGAUCAUGUACUGAUUGCCAAUAAAUGUAUUACUGGCAAUAAUUUGAUGCCAACCUACAUGAGUUACCAAUUUUCUACUGAUUAAGUUGGAAUUA